GCGGCAGAUUAGGUUGUUGGUGGGGUAAUGGCCUACCAAGCCAAUGAUCUGUAGGGGCUUUGAGAGAGGUAGCCCCGAGAAGGGCACUGAGAAACUGGCCCUAACCCUACGGGGUGCAGCAGGCGCGAAAACUUUACAAUGCACGCAAGUGUGAUAAGGGAAUCCUAAGUGCUUAUGCUUAGCAUAGGCUUUUGCCAAAAGUAAAUAUUUUGGCGAAUAAGUGGUGGGUAAGACUGGUGCCAGCCGCCGCGGUAACACCAGCGCCACGAGUGGAGAUCACGUUUAUUGGGCCUAAAGCGUCCGUAGCCGGAUUAACAAAUCUCUUGUGAAAUUGUUAGGCUUAACCUAACAGCGGGCAGGAGACACUGUUGAUCUUGGGACCGGGAGGAGUUAGAAGUAUUUCUUGGGGAGCGGUAAAAUGCUAUAAUCCUUGAAAGACUACCUGUGGCGAAGGCGUCUAACUAGAACGGAUCCGACGGUGAGGGACGAAAGCCAGGGGAGCGAACCGGAUUAGAUACCCGAGUAGUCCUGGCUGUAAACGCUGUGAGCUAGGUGUUACAUAUUCUAUAAGAAUAUGUUGUGUCGAAACGAAGGUGUUAAGCUCACCGCCUGGGAAGUACAGUCGCAAGACCGAAACUUAAAGGAAUUGGCGGGGGAGCAC
rnacentral:rRNA from 1 species